GUGUGGCACAAUAGGUCUGUGCAUCUGGCUAUUAACCAGAAGGCUGGCAGUUCAAGCCCACCCAGGGAUG